rnacentral:rRNA from 1 species
UCGGCGCGAUUCGCCUUACUGCUCAGUAACACGUGGACAAUCUAACCUAUGGAAGGGGAUAAUCUGGAUCACUGGGGAUAAUACCCUAUAGACUAUAGAUGCUGGAAUGCUCUGUAGCCGAAAGGUCCGCCGCCAUAGGAUGGGUCUGCGGCCGAUUAGGUUGUUGUUGGGGUAACGGCCCAACAAGCCUGUAAUCGGUACGGGUUGUGGGAGCAAGAGCCCGGAGAUGGAUUCUGAGACACGAAUCCAGGCCCUACGGGGCGCAGCAGGCGCGAAAACUUUACAAUGCGGGAAACCGUGAUAAGGGAACUCUGAGUGCCCGUAAAAUCGGGCUGUCCAUCAGUGUAAAAAACUGGUGAAGAAAGGGCCGGGCAAGACCGGUGCCAGCCGCCGCGGUAAUACCGGCGGCUCGAGUGGUGGCCACUAUUACUGGGCUUAAAGCGUUCGUAGCUGGUUUGUUAAGUCUCUGGGGAAAUCUUCCGGCUUAACCGGAAGGCGUCUCAGGGAUACUGGCAGACUAGGGACCGGGAGAGGUGAGAGGUACUCCAGGGGUAGGAGUGAAAUCCUGUAAUCCUUGGGGGACCACCUGUGGCGAAGGCGUCUCACCAGAACGGCUCCGACAGUGAGGGACGAAAGCUGGGGGAGCAAACCGGAUUAGAUACCCGGGGUAGUCCCAGCCCGUAAACGAUGUGCGUUAGGUGUAUCGGUUGACCACGAGUCACCGAGGUGCCGAAGAGUAAUCGUUGAACCGUACCGCCUGGGGAAGUUACGGUCGCAAGGCUAAACUU